rnacentral:rRNA from 1 species
AUGGAGGUUACUGAUAUAUGCCCAUUAUGUGGUCUCGAGCGCGAGGACACUUUUCAUGUGUUUUGCAGGUGCCCUCGGGCGGUGCAUUUGUGGCGGACUAUGGCGGAGGUGUGGAGUAUACCGGACAUCGAGUCAGUCCGGAACACCGGCCCGGAGUGGCUCCUGAACCUAAUUGCAGAAAGCAAUGAAGGGGACCGGCUGCACCUGAUUAUGCUGCUGUGGAGAUGUUGGCAUGUGCGCAACGAGAUCACUCAUGACAAACCGGCGCCGCCUGUGGAGGUAUCUCGCCGCUUUUUGCAGAGCUACGUAAUCUCACUGCUAGGGAUCCAGCAGUAUCCGCAGGGAGAUUGGGACAAAGGGAAGAUGACCAUCCAACAAGAAGGUGCAGAGCAACCUAUAUCACAAGUGGGAGGUGUGCCAUGAAGAGCACACAAAUGGAGUCCCCCACCCGCCAACUGGACGAAGCUGAAUGUUGACGGCUCCUUUUCCCAUGAUGACGGGAGGGCCGGGACGGGAAUGGUGCUCCGUGACCAGGAAGGGGCCAUUAUUUUCUCCGCGUGUCGCUCUCUAUGGUCAUGCCCGGACCCUCUACAUGCCGAGCUGGCUGGGUGCAUGGAGGGCAUAGCUUUGGCCCUCCAAUGGACGGAGCUGCCGUUUAUCGUCGAGUGCGAUAGUCUACAGGCAGUGCAACUGAUCAAUGCCUCAGGACAAGACCGCUCACAGUACGCCAUGGUGGUCUCGGAAGUGAAGCAUCUUAUGAGUGAAAGGGAGUGUCAUGUUAUUCAUAUUUCUCGAGAGCAGAAUAAUGUAAGCCAUGCGUUGGCGAACUUUGGAAGGACGGAAGACCGUACUGUGGUCUGGCUCCGCUCCGGUCCGGACAAUAUCCCUAACUUGUGUAGGGAGGACCUUCUUGGCUCUUGA